GGUGAACGCUGGCGGCGUGCCUAAUACAUGCAAGUCGAGCGAACAGACGAGGAGCUUGCUCCUCUGACGUUAGCGGCGGACGGGUGAGUAACACGUGGAUAACCUACCUAUAAGACUGGGAUAACUUCGGGAAACCGGAGCUAAUACCGGAUAAUAUAUUGAACCGCAUGGUUCAAUAGUGAAAGACGGUUUUGCUGUCACUUAUAGAUGGAUCCGCGCCGCAUUAGCUAGUUGGUAAGGUAACGGCUUACCAAGGCAACGAUGCGUAGCCGACCUGAGAGGGUGAUCGGCCACACUGGAACUGAGACACGGUCCAGACUCCUACGGGAGGCAGCAGUAGGGAAUCUUCCGCAAUGGGCGAAAGCCUGACGGAGCAGCGCCGCGUGAGUGAUGAAGGUCUUCGGAUCGUAAAACUCUGUUAUUAGGGAAGAACAAAUGUGUAAGUAACUAUGCACGUCUUGACGGUACCUAAUCAGAAAGCCACGGCUAACUACGUG
rnacentral:rRNA from 1 species